UAAUAGCGGGGGUGCCCUCACAAGGGGCUGAGAUCAUACCCAACGAACCUGAUGCGGAUCAUACCGACGAAGGGAAGGCUU
rnacentral:ncRNA from 1 species